UGACGACCAUAGCAAGGUGGUCCCACUCCUUCCCAUCCCGAACAGGACAGUGAAACGCCUUCGCGCCGAUGAUAGUGGAUGUACAUCCGUGAAAGUAGGUCAUCGUCAGGCU
rnacentral:rRNA from 2 species